CUAAUUUUCCUACCCUAGGUUUUCCCUUUUUUAAUUUCUCCAAUUCAAAGACCACUCUCCAAUUUCUCAUACAACUCAUACAGGUCACAAGAGAGACGCUCACCAUAACUCAUAGAAGAACUCCGUGAAGAUACAAUAUGAAAUUUAUUCAACGAUGCUGCAGGAAGAGACCGAAAACGCAGAACUAAGAUCUCUCUUGGAAGACAUCAAGGUAGAAUAUGCUUCAGGACCUUGAAAAGCAAAAACCCUCUGCUUUAAGACUGGUAAGAGCAUCACCAAGACAAGAGUUUGUUCAACUGAUUAAUGAACUCGUUAAGGGUUCAUAAGAGUUUCUCAAUUUGAGCAUCCUGUUUUUGACAAGAUUAUUAAGGUAAGUGUUGAAUUUUUUUGCCGUCUUAAAUAGAAAAUAGUUCAAAUGUUGAGAUAGUAACUUUGAAAAUAUUGAACUGAAUCUCAUAGAGUGGAUCGCAUGGUGCUUUUGUAGUGCUAGUUUAAUGAGCAUUUUAGCUUAAUGGGAAAUAAUGUAGAAAGCAUGUCAUUUUAAAGACAAAAGAGGUCACAUAGCACAAAAUGUUGAUAAAAUUUUCAAUCCUCUUACUGCACUCUCCCUUAAUCCAGAUAAAGUAAUCUGGCAAAUUAGUUUCUUGAAGUGAACCCAUAUCCUAAAGCAUAAAUGGUUAUCAAUGUCCUAAAGCAUAAAAAGUUAUCAAACAGCAAGGCAUCUCAGUUGCAUUUUACCACAGGGCUUUUUGCUGCGUUUCAUACCAUUCUCAUUCACUUGUGUUAUUAUCUCUAAUUUUUCUUUUGAGCAAUUUUAAGGUUCUAAUAUCAUAUUCGUAGAUAACUAUGUGAAUUUUAAAUGAGUUGUUAUCAGCAUAUUUCUAUAGAACCUGUCUAGUUGUACAGCUUUGCACUCAUGUGCCAUGUGCCUGGAUUUCAAGUCUUCUUUUGAUGCUAGUUUCAAUUUGCUUGUUGAUACUGCAAUACUAUUGUAUUAUCUUGUUAAAGGUUAAAACGUUCUUCCUGUUCUAAUAUUGUGAUAAGAAAGUAUUAGGUCUAAUAUCUAGCAAUUAAUAGUUGAAACUAAUUGUUGGAUAUUAAUGUGCGAAGUUGGUAUAUAUCUGAAGGUUAAAUACUUAUAUACAUGUCAUUUGUUGGUUAAGUCUCGAAUGAUGUAGAUAUGUUCGUUUGGAGUUCAAUAACCAGUUUUCUUAAAGACAUGUAAAGGGCGAACAAGAUGGUUAGCUGCAUUCUCGAAGAUGUUCUUUUACUUUUGAGCUGCAAUUUGCGGCUUUAAGUUGCUAUGUAAGUUCUAUCUUAAAGCUCCAUGAACGAGCUGGUGUGAUGUUGUUUUGCACUAUUUUAAGCUGGUUCCAGAGGCGUUUUACAGUUGCCUUUCAAUUGAAUAAGCGAGCCUAUGUUAACCAAGUCUACAAGAGCAAAAGUUGGUCGCAGCCUGAGAAAAGGUAUUGGUGUUUAUUGGAUUCUAAUGCAUCCUACAACUAAAUAUCUCAUCCGCCUUUUGUGAAAUUUCUAUUUAAUUUGGAGUAUUUAUAUGCUUGAACUUUUUCCUAUCUACACAUUAACAAUAGGAGAUAACAUCAAAUGGCUGUAAUCACCCCAACACUAGGAUAAUCUGAUUAAUAAGUCAGCAUUGGCCGGUGGGAGUCGAAGGUAGCAAGUUUCUUUAAGAACAAAGAAACAGAAAAUAAAUGAAGAUUUCAGAGUCAUGUUUAAAGGUGAAGCAAAUGAAUGAAGGAUAGACGAAAGCAUUGAAGAAUUUUCUUAGGAGUAUUGGUUGAUCAUUAUUAGACCUUCAAAUGUUAUAGGAAUUCUUUAUUCUCGAACUUCUUGCUAUAGGAAUUCUUUAUUCUCGAACUUCUUGCUAACUUGUGUAUGCUAACUCUUUAAAUAACAUUGUAUACUUUGUUGUUUUUAUAUAGUUAAUACUAGUUGGAGAUUUGAGGUUC